AUUGAACUCUGGCGGCAGGCCUAACACAUGCAAGUCGAACGAGUGGCGGACUGGUGAGUCAUGUCUGGGAAACUGCCUGAUGGAGGGGGAUAACUACUGGAAACGGUAGCUAAUACCGCAUACCAUCGGAUGUGCCCAGAUUGGAUUAGCUAGUAGGUGGGGUAACGGCUCACCUAGUCGACGCUCCCUAGCUGGUCUGAGGGGAUGACCGGCCAACCUGGAACUGAGACACGGUCCAGGCGCCUACGGUAGGCAGCAGUGGGGAAUAUUGCACAAUGGGCGCAAGCCUGAUGCAGCCAUGCCGCGUGUAUGAAGAAGGCCUGCGGGUUGUAAAGUACUUUCAGCGGGGAGGCGUAAGACGAAGAAGAAGCACCGGCUAACUCCGUGCCAGCAGGCGCGGUAAUAG
rnacentral:rRNA from 1 species